rnacentral:misc_RNA from 1 species
ACCUCUAGCAGAGCGCGUCGCACGUCCGAGUACCGGCCGCCGCCCGUCAUCAGUCGCCGUACUAACGCGCAGCCCAACGUAACCUCUUUACCUUCUUAGUUUUUAGUAGUUCAGUAGUAGGAUAACACCAACAACAACAACACACACACACACAUACACACACACACACACACCAUAUUAAUGAACCAACUCAACAUUCGUAUUUGAAGGAAUAGGAAGAAAAAAAACGAACAAACAAUAGAUACAUCGGGGAUAGAAGGAAAAUAAGGAGAGAGCGACACUCGCCGGUCGCUUUGCCAUCCCUGUAAGAAGCAACAAGAAUAUCAUUAAGAGGGGCUAAUCAUUUUCAGAAGCCCGAUAUCGUUGUUUCUUUUUUUUUUCUCCGAGUUACGAAAUUAACAAGGACGUGAAACCUCGACGUGAAAGAGUGCCCAACGGACAACCUCAUAUGCGAACGUUUUCGCUGCUGUGAAAAUCAUUACAAGAGAUAACAGUAGAUGAGAAAGAAUAGCAUAAAAAUAUAUCGGAGAACGAAUCUCCUUCGUUUUGUUGGAGCAUUGUGUACAACAAAGCGGAACUGACAACACACGUGCUCUUCUUCUGCUUCUUCUUCUUCUUCUUCUUCUUCUUCUUCUGCUUCUUCUGCUUCUUUCAGCUUCCCUCCGCAUAUCGAAAUCAUUUGACAAGCAUCCGAGGCACAAAGAAGUCCUUCUGAGCAGCAGCUAAAUACGAUAUUGAAUAAUUUGAAAAAAUAAAACUCCGCGGUGGAUUUAUUGUUUUCUUUCUUCUUCUCAUUCGUACUCUCCGCUUCUGCUUUGUCUUGGUCAACUUGAAAUCUUGGAAUCACCUCGACUCUCGCACAAUUGUUAAAAAUCAUAGAACGUAUGACUGUUGACGACGAGGAUUCGAAGAGGAUCUCGCGUUAUUUCCGGCCUGUCGAAAACACAGAGAGCCUAAUUAAUAAUUAGAUAAAUGAUAAAUCGUAACCGGAUCGUUACCAGGACGAGAAGAAGCGCGGUUCGAUUGAUAAUAUCGUCGGAAUAAACCGCUGAAGGAGUGUGUCUCGCAUCGUUCAAACAAUCUUGUUCAUCACGCUGGAUCGUAUGUUCUCGUGGUGCGUGUGACAGUGCGCGUAAACACAAAGAUCGAGCCGAGGAUUCAUUCGAUACGCUUGAUCGACGACAUUAAUAGUCCGAAUAAAUGAAGGAAUUACGGCUCUCUCGUUAAUUCUCGUUAACCUCAAUAUCUAAUCGUCUAAUCCUGCUGAAGCACAAGUUAAAGUCCCUCUCGGUUGGAAAUUCGAGGGCGGGAGGGAGGCAGGAAGGAGACCUCUCACCAUCGCGAAAACCAAAGUUCGGAGCGAGCGCUUAAAGCUGCCAGAGAUCCCGAGGAAAGUCUGGGAUAAAGCUCGAAAGGAUUUUUCAAGAGCGUGCAAGUGCGGCUUCGAGUUUACCCGGCUAGUGGCAAAAUACACACACGCGAGCACACUAACACAGUAGAGUUUACGCACGCGCGAAAAAAAACAAGGAAGGAGGUACGAAGAGCGCGGGCGCGCUUCGAGCCAAAAGCGAGAGAGAGAGAGAGAGAGAGAGCGAGAGAGAGAGAGAGAGAUUGAGAGAGGGAGGGAGAAAGAGAGAAAUAGAGAAAUAGAGAAAGAGAGAAAUCGAGAUCGAGAUAGUGUAGACAAGAUCUCUGCGGAUUUUCCGUGUGUGUGUUUGUGUGUGUUCUCUGUGUUUCUCCUCUUCUCAUCUCCGUGUGUGGGUGUGAGUGAUUUUGUGCAUCAAAAAGUAGAUAUAUCAAUCUCAGUGAAAUUAUUUCAAUAAAAAGAGAAGAAAAGUCAAAGGGAUUAUAUAUUCCAGUGGUGUUUGUCUGUGCGGGGCAAGAGAAAUCAUUGGCUUCGCGCAAAGCGACUAAAAUAAUAAAUCAAUUGAUACAAUUAUUGUUGUUCGGUAAUCGUCUCGUACUUUGUGCAUCAUGGAACCUCAGAAUCAGGAAAUUGUCGCGAGUGCAUCUUUCGCCGAGGUUCCCAACGACCCAGGAAAAAUGUUCAUCGGCGGUCUUUCAUGGCAGAGCAGUCCAGAGAGCCUCAGAGAAUACUUCACGAAAUAUGGCGACAUCACAGAAGUCAUGGUUAUGAAAGACCCAACAACACGACGGUCAAGCAGCGGUGAACCCGUACCGUAUAUGGUGGACAGUGCCGGCCUCAUGUUCACGCCAAGGGGAUUUGGUUUUAUCACUUUUGCGGAUCCCGCCAGUGUUGACAAAGUACUCUCUCAAGGGAACCACGAAUUGGACGGGAAAAAAAUCGACCCUAAGGUAGCAUUUCCAAGAAGGACACAUCCCAAGAUGGUGACAAGGACGAAGAAGAUAUUCGUGGGGGGCCUCUCGGCCCCGACGACGCUCGAGGACGUCAAAAAUUAUUUCGAACAGUUUGGCCCGAUCGAGGAUGCCAUGCUGAUGUUCGACAAGCAGACUAGCAGGCACAGAGGUUUUGGAUUCGUCACGUUUCAGAGCGAGGACGUAGUUGACAAAGUAUGCGAGAUUCAUUUCCACGAGAUUAACAAUAAAAUGGUCGAGUGUAAGAAAGCCCAACCGAAAGAAGUGAUGCUACCCGCGAAUUUGGCGAAGACACGAGCAGCCGGCAGAGGUGCAUACGAUUUUAUGUGGUCCCUGGGAGCAUUACCCGAUGGUUUCCCAGCGGCAGCGUACGCGGCAUACGCGGCAGGCCGCGGCUAUUCGGGGUACCCUAGUUUCGGACUACCCUACCCGACAGGAGCGGUCGUGUACCGCGCACUGGGGCCAAGGGUGGGCCGAGUAUCCGUCAGCCCCAGUGGGGGUUGCACCGUGGAUCUGACCAACGGACAACUCACCCCGAACAACAACACACCAUUGCUAACGCAAGCACUUUCUGUGAUGAACAAUUACCAGGCAGCUGCACAAGCAGGAUUUCCUCCAGCCUCGCCCCACGGUGGCGGGGGCCACGGAGGUCCGCAGGGUCGUUCGUUUCCAGCGGCAAAUUCGCCCGGUCCAAUUGACAUGUACAGUACGAGUGCAGCAGCGGCGGCAGCGGCCGCGGCCGCCGAUUCUGUUGCAAGUUACGUCCAGGCAGCGGCUAGUCCCCAGCCACCGACAACAGCGUUUCCCGCGAUCGCAGUUUCCCGGGCCCCGCUCAACUACAGUCCCUACUCACAGCAAGCCCCUCAGUGUGUCUAUUAUGCACCCCUUUCGUGAGUAAUAAUCGUGAGUAUGGUGAGUGGGGAGGGGAGCGAGCGAGCCAAGAGGGAUAGGACAGUGUCUUGGAUGUUAGAUCAAAUUGGCACUCGCUCUCUUCGUACACUCGGGCACAAGACGAUCUCGUCACUUGGAUUAUGCCAAUAUACGAGGGAAAAAGAGGAUUUUCGUAAAGACCCGAGGACACGCGCUGCCCCAAGUCUCAAGAAAACACAUAUAAUAAGUGGUCCUCUGAUACCAGCGGCGUUCACUAAUGGCUACCAUUGAGCCUUGUUAAGACCUAACAACAAAAUGGACGAGAGGGCAACGCGCGGCAAGAUCGACUGACGGCACAACGAUAAAAUGCCUCGCGCAAAUGAUCACACUAAUUAUAUCAACGUCAUCAACACCUAUUUAUGGCAAUGAGAGACACGAGAAUUUCUCGGACCUGGAAGAUAUUUGAGAGACGGUGUAAAAAAAAAAAAAAAAAAAAAAAAAACAAGAAGACCGUAACACAGUCAGCUCCGGCAUGAAUCCAAAGAGGCGUGAGCAGUGACUAGAUGAAAUUAAAAUAAAACUGACCUAUUGGCUCGACCGUUUACUAUAUGAAAACAUUUUGCGAAACCGGGCAAGUACGAAGGAUCGCAUUAUUUUCUGAUAAAAGCAUUUUAUCGGCGUCAAAAACACCAAUUCAACAAAUAGAAAACACGAGGUUCCCCCCCCCCCCCCCCACGCACACACACACUCAUACAUACAUACAUACACACGCGCGCGCGCGCACACACACACACACAGAGACUCAGCGCACACAUACGCAAACCUACACACUCAAAAACGAGCCCAUACACAUACGCGCGCAUGAGGCAAAGGUCUGAGUCGAUCAGAGAAAAAAAAUGAACAACUGGGCAAAAUUGAAGACCGAAGAAUGCUUUCGUCACUCGUGAAUCCAGUAGCGAGGAGAACUCGAGCGUAAAGAUGAUUGAAAAAACACCAAAGCCACGGCCGUAUCUGCAUAUUUGGCGCCCGCCCAUUCUCCGACAUUGAAAAAUAAUAAUAAUAAUAAUGAUAAUAUAUGAAAUAAUAAUCAUAUUAAUAAUACCGAAGGGGCGAGGGGGAAUAAUGAUUGAAAUAUAUAUAUAUAUAUAUAUAUAUAUUAAUAAACUAAUUAUUAAUUGCUAAAUAAUUAAGCGGUCAAGUCUAUGAUAUAAAUAUACACGUAUGCAUAUAUCCCCAUAUGUAUUUAUACAUAUGGGAGUGUGUGCAUAUAUUACGAUAUAAAUAAUUGAUAUCUCAAUACAGAGAAAAACGAAUAUGAAAGAGAAAAAUAAAGAAAAAUCGUUAGGAUGUAAUUACGAUGAAUUACCAAUAAUUCACGCACGAAUAAUAUAAUAUAUAUAUAUAUAUAUAUAUACAUAUGUACGUGUAUGUAUAUAAGGUUAUAAUAUAAUCGAUUAAUCGUUAUUAUCGAUUACUGAGGAAUGCGCAAACAUGCAGCCUCAAAAAUAUUCUAUUGAAAAAAAAAAUGGGGAAGACAAGCACGGAUCACGCGUACAUUUUGGUACAUAAUUUUUAUUAUAUUAUUCGUUGAUAUCGUUGAUGUAAAAAAAAUUAUUGUAGAAAUGAUUCUCCAUUUUUUUUACUUCGUUUUGUUUGGAGAUUUUUUUAGUUCUCUCGUAUAUCAUAAAAAAUUAAUGAUUACUGAUAACGGGAAAUAAAAAUGGAGGGUUUACUCUCGAUUCGUUAAAAAAAAUUGUCCCUUCAGGUAUAUUGAGAUUAAAAUCCCAAUUACCAUGAUCGAUUAUCUCGAAGAAUGAUUAUAGGACAAUGUUUGGAAAGAACAAUGAAAUUGUGAGAAGUAAAAAUAAUUAAUUAUGAGAGAGAGAGAGAGAGUGUGAGGGAAGGGGAGCGAGAGGGCGAGAGAAAGAAACACAGAGCGAAUGGAUUUUAACGUUUAAUAUGAAACGAUUUAUUAAUUAUUGAUUAAGUGAAUUAUUAAGAGAAAUGAAAGAGGUAAGGGAUUGAAGUAAUAAGAAAAAGAAUUGUUUCUGUGACGUAACUAGGCGCGAGGAUGAUGAAACAGGAUUGAAAAAAACGAACAAUAAAUACGAGUAACGAGCGAGUGUUUUACGUUUUUGUAAUUUUAAAGAACGCCAACACCAAUCUCUUGAGAAAAAAAAUAUAUACGUAUAUAUAAAUAAAUACAUAUAAAUAAAUAUACGAUCGAUGAUGGUCGUUUGAUGUUCGAAAGAGCAAUGAAGAUUCAAUUUAUUCUGUAGAGUGAAAUAUUGCGACAAGCACGUACAGCGAGAUGAAAAAAAAAAAAAAGAAAAAGCAAACCCAAACAAAAUUCGAAUCAUUUACGAACACCACACUUUUUACAUGUGCAAUGAAUAAUUCUCAUAGCGCUUGAAUUACAUGUUUUCGUUUUUCGUCACCUCGUCCGAAAAAUCUUCAAAGAAAAGAAUUGAGCUAUUAAGAAGCAAGAGGAAAAAAAAGAGUAACAAUGGGAAGAAAAAACAAUAAGCAAAAAAAGGGGUAUGUCUGUGUUCGUUAAAAUCUGAUUGAGUAUUUAUUAUACACUUGAUAUUUAUUGAAUUUGCAAAUUAUGAAAAACAAUUAAUAUAAACUAUUCGUAUCAUUACCAUAAUUAUUAUUUGUAUUAUUAUUAUUAUAAUUAUUAUUAUAUGUCAAUAGCAUGUGUCAAUUUGCUGAGCCAAGAGUUCCCGCGGCUCCGACACAUUAUUAUUGUUGUUGCUGUUAUUAUUAUUAUCAUUAUUAUUAUUAUUAUUAUUAUUCCUAUUAUUAUAAUUAUGAAUAAACGACUAUAUGUACGAUUAUAAUACGGUUAUAUUAUAUUCGACGACAGGGUAAAUAAGGACGAAAAAACAAAACUCUCAAAUAGUGAAAUAUAAACUGAGGAAAAAAGGGGCCGGUUGAAAAGCGAGAUGAAAGUUCGCGAAGAGACACGCCGAACGUCGACCAUUUUGUCCUUUUUUCUCUUUGAUUAUGUCCGUUGCAAUGAGAAUAAAAGUUGAAAAAAUUAAUUAAAAUAAAAAAUAAACGAAAAAAGACUUUCGUGAGUAAUAAUCUCUUUGGAGCACGUGCCUGAGCGCGAACGGUGUCAAUUCUUGUGAACGCAGCAAUACUUUUGCGAUAACAAACAAAAUAAACUUAAACAUACACGAACACACAUAAACACAAGUUAAGUGGGAUAAAUAGAUGAAGAAAAUUCAGAAAAAAAAAACGAAACAACCAAACACUAAAACAUCGUAACCAAAUGGUAGUCGGUUCGUUACUUCAAGAGGGAACAACAAUAAACAAGAUUGACUUGAGAAAUAUUGGAAAAAAAAUCUGAUUCGGUCAAAAAAACAUGAUCAUCAAUACUGAAAAUAAGAAAUUGCCGGCACACCGUUUUUUUUUUCGUAAAAAAUAGAAAGAACUCGUUUUGAAGUUAUUUAUUUGAACGUAAAAACAAAACAAAAAAAUGCAAGGACGAAUGAACGACUGAAAUUUUAUCGAAAACGAUACAAGUUAACGUUUCCGAAUGAAACAGGGCGUUAAAAUUAAACUGAUGAAACACGCUCACCUCGCUCCGCGUACGUCAAACAUUCGAGGGUAAAUUUUGUUCGCUUAUUUCAGAGAAAAUUGAUGAAAACUAUACCUAUAUUGACAGUAAUAAUAAUAGAAAUAAUAGUUAUAAUAAUAAUAAUAAUAAUAAUAAUAAUAAUAAUAAUAAUAAUAAUAAUAAUAAUAAUAAUAAUAAUAAUAAUAAUAAUAAUAAUAGUGAUAACAUUAAUUAUAAUAAAUCUAAUAAAAUUAAGAGUAAUACUACUGAUAACAAUAAGGAUAAGGUUUGAGAAAAUGAAGAAAACAAAUAUGUUAAGACACUGUAGCCCAAGAAAAAAAUUAUGUUAGGGGAUCAUAAUCCGGUAUAUCGCAUGAAUAAAUUAAACUAUAACCACGGAAGAUUGAAAAAGACAGAAGGGAUUGCGAAUGAGAAUAAAAUAAUAAUAAUAAUAAUAAUAAUAAUCACGUGUACCCAACACACAAACGUUGCAUCCAACAAUGAAGUGAGGUAAUUAAAAAAAAAAAAAAACAAGAAAGGAGAAGUAAAAAAUAAUAGCGAACACUACAAGGAUAUAACACCAGCUCAA